GAGGAGCAAUAUGGGGUCUGAGCUUUUUGUGCUAGCAGCUUUCAGUCUCAGUGCUGCUCAGCUGACUGCGUGGAGAUUCUUGAGCAGAGACUUCCAGUUUUGGAUGCUUAGCUUCCAGCUGUGCACUGCAGCCCUGUCAAUAAACAUUCAACUCGAGAACGAGUGUUCCUUCCCUGCAGAUCUCCUGGGGAGGCUGAAGGUGAUGGAUGUCAGUGGCAGGCGCACCACAAGUGCUGCUUUAUCUCCUAAAAAUUCUGAUGGCUCAAAGUUCUCCGCUCCUGGCUCCAUCUCCAGCAUCCCACAUGGAGCAAGGCAACCAAACCCCACGGGAUGUGCUUUGCUGCGUCAGGGCUCCCAGCAACGCGCACCCUGUGCCCACGAUGAGCAUGGAGAGUGCAGUGCUCCUGCCUCCGUUACAGCCCCCAGCCCUGGUCUGCAGACAGCUGCCUUGCCAGCUCUCCCUGCGUUUGUUUAGGCAUUUCCCCAUCACCCCCAGCGUUCACUGGCUUGAACCUCGUGCACACUCUGUUGAACGCCCUCCCGUUUUUCCUGGCUCCAUCUCUGCUUUAUCAGGGCCGCUUUGAGCUCCGAUCCUGCCUUCCCAUGCAGUGGUGGAGCCACGGCAGCUCUCCCGCAGGUGGGGAGGUGGAUUGUGGCCAUUCAGAGCUGUGCACAGAUUCGGGAUGGAGCCGGGGACGCUUGUCCCACUGCCCCUUCCUCUGACGCUUCCCAUCCUCAGUCCUUAACAAAUUGAGGCAGUUCCACUUGAGGUGAAUGCCCAGGGAGUGCAGCUGCUUGAAGAUAACAAGCAGGCAAACAGGGUCGCCAGCGUACCCAGGGGAAAGAAAGCAUCCCUGAGAGUCGGGGGGAAGCGGCACGGUGUGGCUCUGCACUGCCCUCCCCCCCGUGCUAUUGUUGUUGCCGUUCCCUCUUUUGACCUGAGCAGUUUGCAAAUAUUUUCAGUCCUGCCGGUUGUUUCCAUUAGUAAGAAAAAUCAAUGACACAGCCACAGAGCUGUGGCAGAGCGGCUCUUCACUAAAAACAGGCAGAGCACCGCUUCCCUAAACGCGGCUCCGCCUGCUCCCAACCCGACGCUCCUCAAAGCUACCCCAAAAUCCCCCUCGUGGAGCUGGUGCUGCGGGCGCCCAGCCUGCCCUGCAGCUCCGACGGCAUCCUCCUCCUUCCCAGCGCCGUGCCCCACAGCUCGCACCCGGCCACGGCUCGGCGCUUCCCGCUAAUGGGGAAGGCUGCUAUCAUUUCAUCCAGUCGCCGGAUAAUUUGCCAGGAAUGCCUAUUGAUUUCCUCCACUCCUCUGCGCGGGCAGGGGGAAAUAAGAGCCAUUCGUCAUUGCAUUAUGUAACGGUAAUUAAAAAUUACUAGUUAACCUCAACCAAAAAUUGAAUAAUUUGAAAUAAAAUUAAAUAAUUCUAGGUAAUCAGUACUAAAUGAGACCAUUAUUUUACUUAUCA